CCUACGGGAGGCAGCAGUGGGGAAUUUUGGACAAUGGGCGCAAGCCUGAUCCAGCCAUGCCGCGUGUGGGAAGAAGGCCUUCGGGUUGUAAACCACUUUUGUCAGGGAAGAAACGGCUUUUUCUAAUACAGAGAGCUAAUGACGGUACCUGAAGAAUAAGCACCGGCUAACUACGUGCCAGCAGCCGCGGUAAUACGUAGGGUGCAAGCGUUAAUCGGAAUUACUGGGCGUAAAGCGUGCGCAGGCGGCUUUGCAAGACAGAUGUGAAAUCCCCGGGCUCAACCUGGGAACUGCAUUUGUGACUGCACGGCUAGAGUACGGUAGAGGGGGAUGGAAUUCCGCGUGUAGCAGUGAAAUGCGUAGAUAUGCGGAGGAACACCGAUGGCGAAGGCAAUCCCCUGGACCUGUACUGACGCUCAUGCACGAAAGCGUGGGGAGCGAACAGAUAGUAUACCUACGUAGUCCGACCGACCCGUAACCGACUAGUCACUAGGUUGUUGGUACGGUCGUGUCUGUUCUAGUAACG
rnacentral:rRNA from 1 species